GCUAAGCUAUAAACAUUGAUGGCACCCUCACCAAGCCUUCCGCCAGAGUAUUACAAGUGAAAAACUUAAAACUCAAAGGACUUGGCGGUGUCCCACCUCGACCUAGAGGAGCCUGUCCUAUAAUCGAUACUCCCCGCUUAACCCAACCUCUACUAGCAUUAUUCAGCCUAUAUACCGCCGUCGACAGUCUACCCCAUGAGGGUCUAAUAGUAGACACAAUAGCAACCCAUGCCGCUAAUACGUCAGGUCAAGGUGUAGCAAAUGUUGAGGAAGUGAUUGGCUACAUUUUUUAUUUUAAAAUAUACGAAAUACAACAUGAAAUCAUGUACAAAGGUGAAUUUAGCAGUAAAAUAGGCAAGAGUGCCUACUUUAACAUCGCUCUGGGACGCGC
rnacentral:rRNA from 1 species